UCUUUAUUUAUCAGUGUGAAUGAUCACCAGUAGUUCAUAGUUACACAGCCUGGGCCAUGUUCAUUAGGACAUGCAACCAAAAGUGUUUCAAAACAUUUUGCAUCGGAAAACUAAAAGGAGUCGUUUCUCUUUCAACAAGCCCAUGUAUUUCCUCCCUCUCGGUUUUGGUCCGUUUGGUAUCUAAUAAACACAACCCUGGAGAGUUCUUACACAGAGGACAACAAUCACUUCAUGGACAUGACCGUCACCAUCAUUAAAAUGGCUGUUUUUAUUUACACUGCUCAGUAACAACAUUCUGAAGUGUAGUUUUUAUUUACACUGCUCAGUAACAACAUUCUGAAGUAGAGUUUUUAUUUACACUGCUCAGUAAUAACAUUCUGAAGUGUAGUUUUUAUUUACACUGCUCAGUAAUAACAUUCUGAAGUGUAGUUUAUAUUUACACUGCUCAGUAAUAACAUUCUGAAGUAGAGUUUUUAUUUACACUGCUCAGUAAUAACAUUCUGAAGUAGAGUUUUUAUUUACACUGCUCAGUAAUAACAUUCUGAAGUGUAGUUUAUAUUUACACUGCGAGUAACAACAUACUAAAGAAUACAGUCAGUGUGUGAAGAGGUAACAGUCACCAUGUGUUGAUUCUCCUAAAGAGAAAUAUAAUCAACAUUCAACUUAUUUUUAGCUUCAAUGGACAGUGCUAUACACGCAGAAAGGAAACAUCAUUGGUGCAGUAGGAUACAAUGUGUGAGAUACACACAGCCUAAACACAUUCUGAUAGGUCGCAAUAAUAUGUAGAAUCCCCAGAUAUAACCAUAAUGGCAUCUAGUACACUGUCAACUCUGCCACUGUCUAUUCUAUUGUCUUAGCUACAGCCGUGUGUGUGUGUGUGUGUGUGUGUGUGUGUGUGUGUGUGUGUGUGUGUGUGUGUGUGUGUGUGUGUGUGUGUGUGUGUGUGUGUGUGUGUGUGUGUGUGUGUGUGUGUGUGUGUGUGUGUGUGUGUGUGUGUGUGUGUGUGUGUGUGUGUGUGUGUGAGUGAGUGACCAAGUGUGAUCGUGGUGCAUAUUCAAAUCAAAUCAAAUCUCUGUGUGCAGACUACAUGGUGCCUGAGUCAAUCUUACAAAAAGGGGGCUGUAUAUGUGUUUCUAUGUGUGUGUGUGCGUGUGUGUGCGUGUGCGUGUGUGUGUGUGUGUGUGUGUGUGUGUGUGUGUGUGUGUGUGUGUGUGUGUGUGUGUGUGUGUGUGUGUGUGUGUGUGUGUGUGUGUGAGUGAGUGACCAAGUGUGAUCGUGGUGCAUAUUCAAAUCAAAUCAAAUCUCUGUGUGCAGACUACAUGGUGCCUGCAUCUCAAUGUGCAGUCGUAAACAGUCAUUCAACAUUCAAACACGGGUGCUUGUGGAGAGAGACACGGUGGUUAAAUGGUGUCUAGUGUGCCGAGCCCUAAAAAUGUUAUCAACAUUGAAAUAUGGAUAUUUGUGGCCAAGACACUAAUGGAGUUUCCAUGAUAAAAACAUGAUGAGAAUAUGGAGACGUGGACGCUGUAAUGGAAAACAGGCUUGAUACAGAUACAAUAAGGACCCAUAACAACAACUCUGAUGUCACCCCUACGUCCGUCCGCCCGCCUGUCUGCCUAUCUGUCUGCCAUCAUUAAACAGAGAGAGGGGCUUUGUCCUCCUCUCAUGAUGGGAAGCUGUUGAUUUUAUGGACCUCGGUGAUUCUUAUCAACCAUCAGCACAAAACAGAACAACCAAAUGGGUUGUUUAAGCAAGCUUCUACUGUGUGUUAGUCAAUCUUACAAAAAGGGGGCUGUAUAUGUGUUUCUAUGUGUGUGCGUGUGCGUGUGCGUGUGUGUGUGUGUGUGUGUGUGUGUGUGUGUGUGUGUGUGUGUAUAAACAUAAUCACUAUAUACACUGUGAAAGAUAUUGGGCUCCCUGUGUAAACAGCCUCUGUGUCUUCCUGCUUGAGUGCCUUAAACAUAUGCAGCCAGCAGCUCCUCUCCUCUCCUCUCCUCAGGGACCAGCAGACGAGCCCACAGCGUGUGAGGAGCCCAGAUAACCCCUGCCUCCACAAGGCUCGCUUUCUGUAGCCCCCCCACACACACACACACACACACACACACACACACACACACACACACACACACACACACACACACACACACACACACACACACACACACACACACACACACACACACACACGAUAGCCACACCACGCCAAGGCAUCCAUACAACGCCUGUGGCUUAAAAUGCAUCCACCAAUGUGAGUCUAGUCCAUAGGUUUAACCGACUUAACGUACACACGAUACACCUCCAUGCCUUGAGUGUGAGUCUGUAGUCACCUAGCUCGCAUGUACUGUAGCCACUUUGCUAGCAUCCCUUAGCUAGCAGGUACUGUAGUCACUUAGCUAGCAGGUACUGUAGUCACUUAGCUAGCAGGUACUAUAGUCACUUAGCUAGCAGGUACUGUAGUCACUUAGCUAGCGUCACUUAGCUAGCAGGUACUGUAGUCACUUAGCUAGCUCUGUGCCCUGCUGGCCAGUUGGUUAUGUCCUCUUAGAAGAGUCAUAGAAUAAAAUAAUGGCCCAUUUUAUAUCCUGGGCGUGUGCCAGCUUAGCUUAACCAUCAGCAAUGCAUCAAUCUGCCAUUUUUUACUGUAUCCAUAUUGGUUUUAUUGGAGUAAUUCAGCCAUGUACUAUAAAAGAUAGGUACACAUGCUGCUAUUGUUAGGAUGGUGCCAGAGGGACAGAGAGGGAGAGAGACAGAGACGGGGAGGGAGAGAGUGGGAGAGAGACAGAGGGACAGAGCGGGAGAGAGAGAGAGAGACAGAGGGACAGAGGGGCAGAGGGAGAGAGAGAGAGAGACAGAGGGACAGAGGGAGAGAGAGAGAGACAGAGGGAGAGAGGGACAGACGGAGAGGGAGAGACAGAGAGAGAGAGAGAGAGAGAGAG
ensembl:lncRNA